UACGUAGGUGGCAAGCGUUAUCCGGAGUUACUGGGCGUAAAGCGCACGCAGGCGGUUUUUUAAGUUUGACGUGAAAGCUCUCGGCUUAACUGGGAGAGGUCGUUGGAUACUGGGAGACUUGAGGGAAUGAGAGGGGUGUAGAAUUCCUGGUGUAGUGGUGGAAUGCGUAGAUAUCGGGGGGAAUACCAGUGGCGAAGGCGGCACCCUAGCAUUUUUCUGACGCUCAUGUGCGAAAGCGUGGGGAGCGAACGGG
rnacentral:rRNA from 1 species